AUCUAUAGAUUUUUUUUUUUACAAUUUUUAAAUGUUCCUUCAGAUUUGAAGAUAAUUAUAUCCUAACCUCAAAACACUCGCAGGACGGCGUUAGAUGAAGGCUGGGAUGGUUCAAACCCGGGACUAUAGUAACCAUAGGGGACAGACCAUAGCGCAUCUCGCACGACCAGGCUUUCACUUAACUCAUUUAAAUCUUUUGGCUAUCACCAAAAACUAUGCAUACGUCUCUUGCAUCAGCCCUCACUUUCUUUUGAAACUGAGCGUGUGUAGUCUCUUGCAUCAGCCCUCACGUUCUUUUGAAACUGAGCGUGUGUAGUCUCUUGCAUCAGCCCUCACUUUCUUUUGAAAAUGUGCGUGUGUAGUUUCUUGCAUCAGCCCUCACGUUCUUUUGAAACUGAGCGUGUGUAGUCUCUUGCAU